GAUGAACGCUGGCGGCGUGCCUAACACAUGCAAGUCGAGCGAACAGACGCGGAGCUUGCCCCUCUGACGUCAGCGGCGGACGGGAGAGUAACACGUGUAUACCCUCCCUAUAAGUCUGUGAUAACUUCGGGAAACCGUACCUAAUACCGGAUAAUAUAUUGAACCGCAUGGUUCAAUAGUGAAAGCCGGUUUUGCUGUCACUUAUAGAUUGAUCCGCUCCUGAUUAGCUAGUUGGUGAGGUAACGGCUUACCAAGGCAACGAUGUGUAGCCGACCUGAGAGGAGGACCGGCCACACUGGAACUGAGACACGGCCCAGACUCCUACGGGAGGCAGCAGUGGGGAAUUUUGGACAAUGGGCGAAAGCCUGAUCAAGCAAUGCCGGGUGAAGGAAGAAGCUUUCGGGUUGUAAAAUCCUUUUGUACGGAACAAAACAGAUCUGGUUAAUACCCGGGGCUAAUGACGGUACCGUAAGAAGAAGCCCCGGCUAACUACGUG
rnacentral:rRNA from 1 species